CUUCCUCCAAAUCCGUGAGAUUCAAAAGAGAUAGUGCUCUUUUGAUUGGCCUAAUGGAUAGUGAACGGUCUCUGGUGCAUUGAAGCCGCAAGAAAGACUCAUUUGAGGUAGUUUGGGGAUGGACAUUGGAUGAUCAAGUGAUCCCUGGCCCCCGGCUCAUUUCAUGUCUGCAGCUCUCAGAAUGCUUCUAGAACAAUGUACACACAGCUGCCCACUGAACAGCUGUACACCAAGACAGAGAUACCAACGUGGGCAAGUGGCUCGGAUGCUCUGUGAAGUUCUAUUCCCGCAAGAUGGUGCAUGGGGCCAAAAUACCUUUCUCAUGAUCUAAUGGACUUGGGGAAAUGCUUCCUCUUGGUGAUUC
ensembl:lncRNA